UGCCCAUAGGAGGGAGGUGAAAAGCCUAGAAGAGCCUGGAUCAUGGAAGCAUUAGGUUUAGCCUAUGGGCCUACCUUCAUUGGAAGCCAUGGACAAGUCUCCCUCAGUGGAAG
rnacentral:lncRNA from 1 species